GACGAACGCUGGCGGCGUGCUUAACACAUGCAAGUCGAACGGAAAGGCCCUGCUUGCAGGGUGCUCGAGUGGCGAACGGGUGAGUAACACGUGGGUGAUCUGCCCCUUACUUUGGGAUAAGCCUGGGAAACUGGGUCUAAUACUGGAUAGGACCAUGCUGUAGGUGGUGUGGUGGAAAGAUUAGUUUCGGUAAGGGAUGAGCUCGCGGCCUAUCAGCUUGUUGGUGGGGUAAUGGCCUACCAAGGCGUCGACGGGUAGCCGGCCUGAGAGGGUGGACGGCCACAUUGGGACUGAGAUACGGCCCAGACUCCUACGGGAGGCAGCAGUGGGGAAUAUUGCACAAUGGGCGCAAGCCUGAUGCAGCGACGCCGCGUGAGGGAUGACGGCCUUCGGGUUGUAAACUCCUUUCAGCCAUGACGAAGCCCUUGUGGUGACGGUAGUGGUAGAAGAAGCACCGGCUAACUACGUG
rnacentral:rRNA from 1 species